rnacentral:rRNA from 1 species
UACAGAGGUCUCAAGCGUUGUUCGGAUUCAUUGGGCGUAAAGGGUGCGUAGGCGGCUUGUCACGUCGGGUGUGAAAGCCCGGGGCUUAACCCCGGGUCUGCAUUCGAUACGGGCUAGCUAGAGUGUGGUAGGGGAGAUCGGAAUUCCUGGUGUAGCGGUGAAAUGCGCAGAUAUCAGGAGGAACACCGAUGGCGAAGGCAGGUCUCUGGGCCAUUACUGACACUGAGAAGCGAAAGCAUGGGGAGCGAACAGG